GGGGGGGGGUCACCACUGAUAUAACCAGGUAACUAGGAAAAACCUUCCAGCAGGCUGGGGGGGGAUCACCACUGAUAUAACACAGGUAACUAGGAAGACCUCCAGCAGGCUGGGAGGGGGGGGGGGGGGUCACACUGAUAAAACACGGGUAACAGGAAGACCUUCCGCAGCUGGGGGGGGCACCACGAUAAACAACAGGUAACUAGAAAAUUCCAGCAGGCUGGGGGGGAUCACCACUGAUAUAACACAAGGUAACUAGGAAGACCUUCCAGCAGGCUGGGAGGGGGGGGGGGGGGUCGACCAACUGAUAUAAACGGGUAAAGGAAGACCUUCCAGCAGGCUUGGGGGGCACCCACUGAUAUAACACAGGUAACUAGGAAGACCUUCCGCAAGCUGGGGGGAUCACCCACUGUAUAACACAGGUAACUAGGAAGACCUUCCUCAAGAGCUGGGGGGAUCACCACUGAUAUAACCACGGUAACUAGGAAGACCUUCCAGCAGGCUGGGGGGGGCACCACUGAUAUAACACAGGUAACUAGGAAGACCUUCCUACAGGCUGGGGGGGCACCACUGAUAUAACACAGUAACUAGAAGACCUUCCACAGGCUGGGUGGGGCACCCACGGUAUAUAACACAGGUAACUAGGAAGACCUUCCAGCAGGCUGGGGGGGGGACCCACUGAUAUACACAGUAACUAGGAAGACCUCCAGCGGCUGGGGGGGGGCCACCACUGAUAUAACACAGGUACUAGGAAGACCUUCCAGCAGGCCUGGGUGGGGGGGGGGGGUCACAACUGAUAUAAACAGGUACAGGAGAAGACUUCCAGCAGGCUGGAGGGGGGGGGGUACCACUGGAAUAACACGGUAACGAGUAAGACUUCCAGCAGGCUGGGGGGGGCACCACUGAUAUAACACAGUGGACUGAAGUGGACCCAAUGACUGUGACUCUGACCCUCACGCCAGCCCCUGCUGAAGUCUGUUCAGGUGCCUUCCAGAGAGUAGGAGUGUUGGAGGGGACUGACGCGUUCAUUCCUGAGGCCGUACAGCUCUUCAGCUCUCUCAGCUCCCUGCAACCCAAGAUCUUUGCCCAGCUACAGGGUAUCCAGCUCCAACCAGGCCUGUGUUCUUUUGACGGAGGUCUGUCUCAGUCGUCUACAGUCACUACAGACUUCCUGGAGCUGCCCAGCCCCCCACAGCCCCUCCUGGUCAGCCCCACACAGUUCCUCCAGUCCAGCCCCUCUCUGGGGGAAGCUAUGACCCUUGCUGACCCCUCAGUGGUUCUGGGCAUGGGUCAGGUGGUCAUGGUGUCAUCGUUAGGGGACGGACAGGUGGUCAGCGUGUCAUCUCUAGGGGACGAGAGCGUGGGGACACACCAGAUACUGUUGGAGGACGGACAGACCAUCCCUUUCCAGAUAGUGGCUCCUGCUAAUAUUGCUAUGAACAGUCCAGUUGAGGUCAAGGAGGAGGAGAUGAGGACGGAGGAGGACACUGUCAACCCUGUAGAUUGACACCAGGCCCUACAGGGGUUGUACUCCAGGUACCCCAGGGUUGUACUCCAGGGGUGUAUCUCAUUCCUCACAGGGGUGUAUUCUUGGGGUGUAUCUCAUUCUUCACAGGGGUGUGCUUCAGCCCUCACAGGGGUGUGCUUCAGCCCUCACAGGGGUGUGCUUCAGCCCUCACAGGGGUGUGCUUCAGCCCUCACAGGGGUGUACCUCCGCCCUCACAGGGGUGUACCUCCGCCCUCACAGGGGUGUACUUCAGCCCUCACAGGGGUGUGCUUCAGCCCUCACAGGGGUGUGCUUCAGCCCUCACAGGGGUGUGCUUCAGCCCUCACAGGGGUGUAUCCCAUCUUUACCAUAUACUUACUGUAGGAGCGGUUGGUUUUACCUCAGGACGGUCAUGUUUAUUGAUCACGUUUAUUGUACAAUUGACUGAAAGUGCAAUUUAUCCAGUGUUUUCUCCUUGUUAUGCUUUUUGAUAUCAUCACGAGGAACUUGUUUGCUAUCGCUUUAAAAUCAUGGAAUCCAACGAAUAUAGUAUAAUUACAGAUAAAAAAAUAAAAAAAGACAACUAGGAGAACCCUGGAUGUAUCAAGUUAAUAGUUAAUAACAUGUGUAUAUAUUAGUGCAUAGUCUUUUCAAUAGAUUUUAACCCUGUUGCAUAGUCUUCUGAGAUGAUCAUGUACUCCAAUAAAGGUUUAUUUUAUUUGUUUAAAUUAAUUAAUUCCUUAAGUUUAUUUCUUAAUUCAAUUGUUUUAAGUGGUUUACGGACUAUUCUAUUCAUUUGCCAAUAAAGAUCCAUCCAGUCUAGUGGGACUUUGCCACAACAAGUAAGAUUCAAUCAGAAGGACAGUAGUCAGAUUUGGAAUUUAUUCCCAUAAAAUAAAAAAGGUCAAAAUGGAACACUAUUUUGGGUAUAUUCCGCAAGAMUGAAAAUCUACCACUUCGAGGUAUUUGAUCAGAACUCUUCUGCCAUGGUGGAUGAGUCUGGAUCCUCCUCUUCUGCCAUGGUGGAUGAGUCUGGAUCCUCCUCUUCUGUCACGGUGGAUGAGUCUGGAUCCUCCUCUUCUGUCACGGUGGAUGAGUCUGGAUCCUUCUCUUCUGUCACGGUGGAUGAGUCUGGAUCCUUCUCUUCUGUCACGGUGGAUGAGUCGGAUCCUCACUCUUCGGUCACGGAUGGAAAUGAGUCCUGGAUCUUAUCCGGGUUUCCCAAUCAACAGUCUGGAUCUUUCCGGUUUCCAGUCUAAUAGAACACAGAGAGUACCUGUCUAAUAGAACACAGAGAGUUACCUAGUUCUAUAGAACACAGAGAGUUACCUGUCGAAUAACACAGGAGUUACCGGUCUAAUAAACACAGAGAGUUUACCUGUCUAAUAGAACACAGAGAGUUACCUGUCUAUAGACACAGAGAGUUCCCUGUCUAAUAGAAACAAAUGCAGAAAAGAAGUUAACCUGUCUAAUAGAACACUGAGAGUUACCUGUCUAAUAGAACACUGAGAGUUACGUCUAAUAGAACAGAGUUACCUGUCUAAUAGAACACAUAGAGUUAUCCUGCUAAUAGAACACAUAGAGUGACCUGUCUAAUAGAACACUGAGGGUUACAUGUCUAAUAGAACACUGAGAGUUACCUGUCUAAUAGAAAAACAGUAGUACUGCUAAAGAAAGAGUUACCUGUCUAAUAGAGAACACAG
rnacentral:lncRNA from 1 species